AGGGCACCACCAGGAGUGGAGCCUGCGGCUUAAUUUGACUCAACACGGGAAAACUCACCCGGCCCGGACACUGGAAGCAUUGACAGAUUGAGAGCUCUUUCUUGAUUCAGUGGGUGGUGGUGCAUGGCCGUUCUUAGUUGGUGGAGUGAUUUGUCUGGUUAAUUCCGAUAACGAACGAGACUCUAGCCUACUAAAUAGAUCGUCGGCUUACAAACGCCGGCGAGACUUCUUAGAGGGACAGGCGGUGAUUCAACCGCACGAAACAGAGCAAUAACAGGUCUGUGAUGCCCUUAGAUGUCCGGGGCCGCACGCGCGCUACACUGAAGUGAUCAGCGUGCUUUUUCAACCUACUCUGUCAAGAGUGGGGAACCCAAUGAACCUUCUUCGUGAUUGGGAUAGGGGAUUGUAAUUAUUCCCCUUGAACGAGGAAUUCCCAGUAAGCGCGAGUCAUAAGCUCGCGUUGAUUACGUCCCUGCCCUUUGUACACACCGCCCGUCGCUACUACCGAUUGAAUGUUUU
rnacentral:rRNA from 1 species